ensembl:lncRNA
AAACACGCUGAGCUGUCCUUACAGGCCAAAUCACAUGAACAGCACAUACAUGAAAUGGAGGUAAGAGACAGCAGCCAGACACUCAGUGUUUCUACCCAUCCCACCUCUGUGGAGGAAGUUAGAGGCGAGGAAUCUGUAAGUGAACGCAUCUCCAGAUCUAAGCUUCCCGGCUUUGGCAGUCUGCAGCACUCGGUCUCCUCUCAGGCCAAAAUUCCAGACCGUUUAGAGGACACAGCAACUGGAACUAAGAUACUUGCCACUGCAGAAACUGAAGGUCAAAAAGUCCCAAAACAACAGUCACAAAC